GACGAACGCUGGCGGCGUGCCUAAUACAUGCAAGUUGAGCGCUGAAGGUUGGUACUUGUACCGACUGGAUGAGCAGCGAACGGGUGAGUAACGCGUGGGGAAUCUGCCUUUGAGCGGGGGACAACAUUUGGAAACGAAUGCUAAUACCGCAUAAAAACUUUAAACACAAGUUUUAAGUUUGAAAGAUGCAAUUGCAUCACUCAAAGAUGAUCCCGCGUUGUAUUAGCUAGUUGGUGAGGUAAAGGCUCACCAAGGCGAUGAUACAUAGCCGACCUGAGAGGGUGAUCGGCCACAUUGGGACUGAGACACGGCCCAAACUCCUACGGGAGGCAGCAGUAGGGAAUCUUCGGCAAUGGACGAAAGGCUGACCGAGCAACGCCGCGUGAGUGAAGAAGGUUGUCGGAUCGUAAAACUCUGUUGGUAGAGAAGAACGUUGGUGAGAGUGGAAAGCUCAUCAAGUGACGGUAACUACCCAGAAAGGGACGGCUAACUACGUG
rnacentral:rRNA from 1 species